rnacentral:tRNA from 1 species
CUCUUGCUAGUCUAAUGGCUAGGAUUUCUGAUUCCCAUCCAGGCUACCCAGGUUCAAUUCCUGGGCAGGGAA